CGGACGGGUGGAGUAACGCGUGGAGAACCUGCCGUAUACUGGGGGAGUAACACUUAGAAAUAGGUGCUAAUACCGCAUAAGCGCACAGCUUCGCAUGAAGCAGUGUGAAAAACUCCGGUGGUAUACGAUGGAUCCGCGUCUGAUUAGCUGGUUGGCGGGGUAAAGGCCCACCAAGGCGACGAUCAGUAGCCGGCCUGAGAGGGUGAACGGCCACAUUGGGACUGAGACACGGCCCAAACUCCUACGGAAGGCAGCAG
rnacentral:rRNA from 1 species